rnacentral:misc_RNA from 1 species
GCAAACUUGGUCAUUUAGAGGAAGUAAAAGUCGUAACAAGGUUUCCGUAGGUGAACCUGCGGAAGGAUCAUUAACAAAUCCAUUGGCGCGCAUCCAAUUGCACAUUGUGCAUGAAGGAUGUGGCGACACAUGUACCGUGUGCAUUGUUUACUCUGCACAUUGUUCACAUUUCUACGAAUCAUCUGAUUGUUCAUAAAUGCAUAAAUGUCAACUUUUAACAAUGGAUCUCUAGGCUCCUGCAUCGAUGAAGAACGCAGC